GAGAGAGGGAGAGAGAGAGAGAGAGAGAGAGAGAGACAGAGAGAGAGAGAGAGAGAGAGAGAGACCAUAUUGGAAGGAAGAUCAAGGUAGAGAAUGGUUUUGUCGCUUGUUACACCUACAACUCCAGGGCCAAACAAUUUUUGCAGAAGAUAUCUCGAUA